UUACCGGGACCGACAGCAAUAUGAAGGCCAGGCUGAAGACUUUGCCGGAUUAGCUGAGAGGUGGUGCAUGGCCGUCGUCAGUUCGUACUGUGAAGCAUCCUGUUAAGUCAGGCAACGAGCGAGACCCACGCCCACAGUUGCCAGCGUACUCUCCGGAGUGACGGGUACACUGUGGGGACCGCCGCUGCUAAAGCGGAGGAAGGAAUGGGCAACGGUAGGUCAGUAUGCCCCGAAUAUCCCGGGCUACACGCGAGCUACAAUGGUUGGUACAAUGGGUAUCUACCCCGAAAGGGGACGGGAAUCUCCUAAAACCAAUCUUAGUUCGGAUUGAGGGCUGCAACUCGCCCUCAUGAAGCUGGAAUCCGUAGUAAUCGCGUUUCAACAGAACGCGGUGAAUACGUCCCUGCUCCUU
rnacentral:rRNA from 1 species